CCUUGUAUAUCUAAAUUAAGAGCUGGGUUCUUACCUCAGCAAUGUGUUCAGCACUACAAGGU
rnacentral:tRNA from 2 species